rnacentral:rRNA from 1 species
UGAAUACGAGACGCUAAGGCGUCGAAGUAGUGUAUGUCAUACUUCCAAGAAAAGCUUGCACUGUCAUAGAUAAAAAACGCCUGUACCAUAACCGACACAGGUGGGUAGGUAGAGUAUACUAAGGGGCGCGAGAUAACUCUCUCUAAGGAACUCGGCAAAAUAACUCCGUAACUUCGGGAGAAGGAGUGCCUUAUUCGUAAGGUUGCAAUAACAAGAUCCAAGCAACUGUUUAUCAAAAACACAGGUCUCCGCUAAGUCGUAAGACGAUGUAUGGGGGCUGACGCCUGCCCAGUGCCAGAAGGUUAAAGAAGUUGGUUAGCAAUUGCGAAGCUGAUAACUGAAGCCCUGGUGAACGGCGGCCGCAACAAUAACGGUCCUAAGGUAGCGAAAUUCCUUGUCGGGUAAGUUCCGACCCGCACGAAAGGCGUAAUGAUUUGGAUACUGUCUCGGAGAGGGGCUCGGUGAAAUAGACUUGUCUGUGAAGAUGCGGACUACCUGCACCAGGACAGAAAGACCCUAUGAAGCUUUACUGUAACUUGAAAUUGAAAUUGGACUUUAUUCGCGCAGUAUAGGUGGGAGGCGUUGAUUAUAAUCUUGUGGGAUUAUUGGAGCCAUCAGUGAGAUACCACUCUUGUAAUGUUAGAUUUCUAACUUUGAAUCAUUAUCUGGUCAAAGAACAGUUUCAGGCGGGCAGUUUGACUGGGGCGGUCGCCUCCUAAACGGUAGCGGAGGCGUACAAAGGUUUCCUCUGAACGGUUAGAAAUCGUAUCUAGAGUGUAAAGGCAUAAGGAAGCUUGACUGUGAGACCUACAAGUCGAGCAGGGACGAAAGUCGGUCUUAGUGAUCUGACGGUACUGAGUGGAAAGGCCGUCACUCAACGGAUAAAAGUUACUCUAGGGAUAACAGGCUGAUCUCCCCCAAGAGUUCACAUCGACGGGGAGGUUUGGCACCUCGAUGUCGGCUCAUCGCAUCCUGGGGCGGUAGUACGUCCCAAGGGUUGGGCUGUUCGCCCAUGAAAGCGGUACGCGAGCUGGGUUCAGAACGUCGCGAGACAGUUCGGUCCAUAUCCGGUGUAGGCGUUAGAAUAUUGAGAGGAGCCUUCUUUAGUACGAGAGGACCGAGAAGGACAUACCUCUGGUGUACCAGUUAUCGUGCCAACGGUAAACGCUGGGUAGCUAUGUAUGGAGUGGAUAACCGCUGAAAGCAUCUAAGUGGGAAGCCCACCUCAAGAUAAGUAUUCUCA